rnacentral:rRNA from 1 species
UCCAAGGUUUCCAGGGGAAGGUUUGUCCGCCCUGGGGGAGUCGGGACCUAAGCAUAAGCAGAGCUGCGAAGGCGAAUGGAAAACAGGUUAAUAUUCCUGUACCGCUGUGUACUGUCUGAGAGAUGGAGUGACGCAGGAAGGUAUGCGGGAAGGCUGACGGAAUAGCCUUUCUAAGGGUGAAGCGUGGACAUGCAGGCAAAUCCGCAUGUUUAUACGUGAGGCCUGAUGGGGAAGUGCCAUAUGGCAUAAGCCGCAGAUCCUACACUGCCGGGAAAAACUUCUAUUGAGGGAAACAGCGCCCGUACUGUAAACCGACACAGGUGGACAGAGUGAGAAACUUAAGGCCGACAGGAUAACUCUAGCUAAGGAACUCUGCAAAAUAGCCCCGUAACUUCGGGAGAAGGGGUGCCUGAUAUACUUGAGAGGAGAAACACCUCAAGGGGAAACAGGCCGCAGUGAAGAGUCCCAAGCAACUGUUUACCAAAAACACAGGUCUAUGCUAAGCUGAAAGGCGACGUAUAUGGGCUGACACCUGCCCAGUGCCGGAAGGUUAAGAGGAGGAUUGAGAGAUUCGAAUUGAAGCCCCGGUGAACGGCGGCCGUAACUAUAACGGUCCUAAGGUAGCGAAAUUCCUUGUCGGGUAAGUUCCGACCUGCACGAAUGGUGAAAUGAUUUGGGAGCUGUCUUGGCCGGAGACCUGGUGAAGUUGUAAUGCCGGUGAAGAUACCGGUUACCUGCAGUAGGACGGAAAGACCCCGUGGAGCUUUACUGUAGCCUGGCAUUGGGUUCUGGCAAUGUGUGUAUAGGAUAGCUGGGAGGCAAUGAUGGUAUGGCGUCAGCCGUACCGGAGCCGCUGUUGGAAUACCAGCCAUGCAUUGUUGGAAUUCUAAUCUCAAGAGAUGGGAGACAGUGCUAGGUGGGCAGUUUGACUGGGGCGGUCGCCUCCAAAAGAGUAACGGAGGCGUUCAAAGGUUCCCUCAGGCUGGAUGGAAAUCAGCCUAAGAGUGCAAACGCAUAAGGGAGCUUGACUGCAAGACUGACGGGUCGAGCAGGUACGAAAGUAGGAGUUAGUGAUCCGGCGGUUCCGUAUGGAAGGACCGUCGCUCAACGGAUAAAAGCUACCCCGGGGAUAACAGGCUGAUACUUCCCAAGAGUCCAUAUCGACGGAAGUGUUUGGCACCUCGAUGUCGGCUCGUCUCAUCCUGGGGCUGGAGAAGGUCCCAAGGGUUGGGCUGUUCGCCCAUUAAAGAGGCACGCGAGCUGGGUUCAGAACGUCGUGAGACAGUUCGGUCCCUAUCCACUGCAGGCGUUAGAAUAUUGAAGGGAUCUGUCCUUAGUACGAGAGGACCGGGAUGGACGGACCACUGAUGUACCGGUUGUCACGCCAGUGGCACGGCCGGGUAGUCACGUCCGGAAGGGAUAACCGCUGAAAGCAUCUAAGCGGGAAGCCCACCCUGAGAUGAAUGUUCUUUCAAGCAUCCGCCGAGAACAGGCGGUGAUAGGCCGGGGGUGCAAGCAUGGCAACAUGUUCAGCUGACCGGUACUAAUAAUGCGUUGGCUUACUU